rnacentral:rRNA from 1 species
AGGAUUAACGCUGGCGGCGUGCCUAACACAUGCAAGUCGAACGAGGUAGCAAUACCUAGUGGCAGACGGGUGAGUAACGCGUGGUCAACCUACCGUUGAGUGGGGGAUAACUAGCCGAAAGGUUAGCUAAUACCGCAUACGUCUCCGAGGGGCAUCCCUUGGCGAUAAAAGGAGCAAUCCGCUCGAUGACGGGACCGCGUCCCAUUAGCUAGAUGGUGGGGUAACGGCCUACCAUGGCACCGAUGGGUAGCUGGUUUGAGAGAGCGACCAGCCACACUGGGACUGAGAAACGGCCCAGACUCCUACGGGAGGCAGCAGUGAGGAAUUUUCCGCAAUGGGCGCAAGCCUGACGGAGCGACGCCGCGUGUGGGAAGAAGGCCUUCGGGUCGUAAACCACUGUCGAAGGGGACGAUAAUGACGGUACCCUUGGAGGAAGCCCCGGCUAACUACGUGCCAGCAGCCGC